UAACCGUUAUGGUUAUAAUCCAAAUCAAGAUUAUUUGACCCAAGGUCAGUGGUAUAACAACCAGCCUUAUGACACACAAAGUCAAUUCAUUCGAACCCGAGGAGAUUUCUUCCAAAACCAGGGUCGAUUCAACAAUGGUUUAAAUGGUCAGGAUCAACUUUGGAGAGGUCAUCAUCAGAUUCUUGAUGUCCCAGUUGGAAUUUCGACUAGACCUAGAAGAUAUAAAAGAUCAUUAUACAGACCUACCAGUAAUAACAGAUGGGGUAACCAAGAAAACAAUGGUGGGCAGUGGUUUAAUCAAGGACAGACAACCUCUGAUUUAUUGGGAAACCAAGGUCAACAAUGGGGCACAGGAGGUCAACAAUGGGCAAAUCAAGACCAGAUAAUUGGAAAUCAAGGUCAACAAUGGGGCACUAGAGGUCAGCAAUGGAGAAAUCAAGACCAGGUACUUGGAAACCAAGGUCAACAAUGGGGAAAUCAAGAGCAGUUAUUUGGAAAUCAAGGACAACGUCUCUGGCAACACGACGGUCUUCUCAGAAAUCAAGGUCAAUUUGGGAGAA